AUUGAACGCUGGCGGCAGGCCUAACACAUGCAAGUCGAACGGUAGCACAGAGAGCUUGCUCUCGGGUGACGAGUGGCGGACGGGUGAGUAACGUCUGGGAAACUGCCCGAUGGAGGGGGAUGACUACUGGAAACGGUAGCUAAUACCGCAUAACGUCGCAAGACCAAAGUGGGGGACCUUCGGGCCUCACACCAUCGGAUGUGCCCAGAUGGGAUUAGCUAGUAGGUGGGGUAAUGGCUCACCUAGGCGACGAUCCCUAGCUGGUCUGAGAGGAUGACAAGCCACACUGGAACUCAGAAACGGUCCAGACUCCUACGGGAGGCAGAGGUGGGGAAUAUUGCACAAUGGGCGCAAGCCUGAUGCAGCCAUGCCGCGUGUAUGAAGAAGGCCUUCGGGUUGUAAAGUACUUUCAGCGGGGAGGAAGGCGGUGAAGUUAAUAACUUCACCGAUUGACGUUACCCGCAGAAGAAGCACCGGCUAACUCCGUGCCAGCCGCCGCGGUAA
rnacentral:rRNA from 1 species